CUGAAAAGGUGUCUGCUUUUAAAUGGAAUCGUAUCUCCCUGUACUCCAUGUUCCCAUCAAUCCCUCUGUGAUUCUAAAUCAAUGUUUUCCUAAAGUGUGGUAGCAAUGGGGAUCCACUGUGAUGGAAAAAAAUAUGCCAAAGGGUGAUAGGGUUGAAACAACAGGAUGAGAGAUCUCAAACACGCUACUGAAUGUUGUACUCUGACAAAACUAGAUGGCUUCCUUUAUCAAGACAGCUGUGUUUUUAAAUAAAUAAUCUUAAUAUGGCCAGCAGAAGGAUUAUGCCUGAUACUCAAAUGUACUACCUUGAAAGGUUGCCUUGACUUCCUCAAGGAGUUUAAAUUAAGGCAUUCAGGAUGCCAGACCAGAAGGCCUCACAGACUGAGUCUUAGUGCUUUACAUUUCCUGGAAUAUUGUAUUUUUAUGGCAAGAAGCAGAAAGGAAGCUGUUUUACGCUUGUAAACCGUUCAGUAUCUUGUCUCCUUUUGUGUAAUGAAACAAAAAUAUUCUGAAAGAACUUCAAAAAGCCAUGGCUAAUAUCUCAAAAACAAAAUGCUGAAAUCAAGCCUUCCACAGCAACUAAUAUGAAAUCAGAAAGCAUGUUUAAUAUUUUAUGCAGAGUCAGAGAUAGCUGGGGCAGAUAUGUAGUGGUUUAUUUUGUGCGCCAUCAUUUAUGUUGCCUGAUAUACAUCUGCAGCCCUCCUGCUUGGGUAAGGUUUUGUUUGUUCGGACCUGUGCACAUCUACAGGAUUUUGUGAAACAAAGAAAUGGACGUUCUGCCACCCUCUGAAAAGAUUUCUUUGUUUUACAUUCUGCCACCCUCUGAAAAGAAGCCUUGCUAAACUUAACUGUAUAUCUCUCCUUACUGAAGAGCCUUGUGUUGAAUAAGACCCAUCAUCAUGUAACUGAAGGUUUUGCAGGAUGAAUCCAUACCUAAUAUCAGAAGUACUGUAGUAUAUCCAAGAUUAUAUGUUUUAUUAUUUGUUAUCAUAAAUAUUCUACAGUGAAAACCCAGGGCCUCUUUCUGAAGGACCUGAAGAUGGGAAGGAAAUCUAAAACACUUUCACAGUCAGAGAAGAGCUCUUCGGGGAGAAAAUAUCUUAGUGUCAUGGGGUUUUUUUUGUUUGUUUGUUUGUUUUUUUUCUCGUAAAAGAGGGAGAAAUUUGCUUCUGAACUGAAACUUGUGAAGAAAUGUAUAUCCUUUAAUAGGAAUUAUUCAUAGCUUUUCUUCAAAUAGUUAGUUUGUUCUUCCAAUGAAUAUACAUUCUGGAAUCUAUCUUUUCUCAAAAUAAUGUCCCCAAGUUGUUAGAAGUUCAAGUAUUGUUUUCAUAUUUCUCAUGAGGUUUCAAAACAGCUCGGUUUCCAUUUCACAUCUGGGUGAAAUGGAAAAAGUGUUCUCUUGCAUAUUCAAAAGUGUAUCUGUUUAUUUUGUCUAACUGCUUUAAUAUAAAAAAAUUAUAUGAUUGCUGUAGGGCAAAAGAGUAACAAGCCUCACUGCAGUGAGCAGAAAAUAUAUGCAUAGCCUAUCAGUUUUCCUCUAUAUUUUGCAUUCCUUCUUAGGAAGACUGGGCAAUGAAAUCAAAGGCUAUUGAAACCACAGAUGCUUAUGGAAUCCCUCCUGUAGCCUGGCCUUGCAUGGCUUGAUUUGGGUUUUCCUCUUCAAACUUCCAAGUUCACCCACCCUGAAGAUCUGUGAACUAAAAUUUUCAACCUUCUGUUAAUUAAGUUGAUAGCUGUUGCCCUGUAAAUUUGGGUAUUUGUCUCUGGAUUGAUGUUUGAAACAGAACUAAAGUGCUGUUUUCUGAAGCAUUGUCACUGAAAAGCAGAAUCUUCCUAAUGUUGCCCUUAAUGUGAAUUUUCCCUAUGUGUAUUAAAAUGUUGAAAAUAAGUAACUGCCAAAAUUUCAAUUACUUUCAUGGGAAACAUCUAAUUUUUCUGCUGCAGCUUUUUUCACAAUGCAAGAAAUAAUGAAUUUAGCUCAAUGCCGGGCUUUUAAGAAGCGAUUAGUACACUUAUUAACCUCGGUGCUCACAACAGAAAUAGUUGAAUU